rnacentral:rRNA from 1 species
AUUGAACGCUGGCGGCAUGCCUAACACAUGUAAGUCGAACGGCAGCACGGUUAAGUACUUGUACUUAAUGGGUGGCGAGUGGCGAACGGGUGAGUAAUGCGCAGGAAUAUGCCGUAAAGAGGGGGAUAACUGGGGGAAACUCAAGCUAAUACCGCAUAAGCUCUGAGGAGUAAAGCUGGGGACCUUCGGGCCUGGCGCUUUAAGCAUAGCCUGCGUCCGAUUAGCUAGUUGGUAGGGUAAAGGCCUACCAAGGCGACGAUCGGUAGCUGGUCUGAGAGGAUGAACAGCCACACUGGGACUGAGACACGGCCCAGACUCCUACGGGAGGCAGCAGUGGGGAAUAUUGGACAAUGGGGGCAACCCUGAUCCAGCAAUGCCGCGUGUGUGAAGAAGGCCUGAGGGUUGUAAAGCACUUUCAGUGGGGAGGAGGAUUGAUUGGUUAAGAGCUGAUUAAUUGGACGUUACCUACAGAAGAAGCACCGGCUAACUCCGUGCCAGCCGCCGCCGUAA